UACGUAGGUGGCGAGCGUUGUCCGGAAUUACUGGGUGUAAAGCGCGUGUAGGCGGCUCGGAAAGUCGGAUGUGAAAGCCCUGGGCUCAACCCAGGAAGUGCACUCGAUACUGUGUGGCUUGAGUACUGGAGAGGUUGGUGGAAUUCUCGGUGUAGAGGUGAAAUUCGUAGAUAUCGAGAGGAACACCGGUGGCGAAGGCGGCCAACUGGACAGAUACUGACGCUGAGACACGAAAGCGUGGGGAGCAAACAGG
rnacentral:rRNA from 1 species